rnacentral:ncRNA from 2 species
CAAAAUAUAGUGGAGACAGGCGCUUUGAUCCUUUAUCGGAAUUAGAGCUUAAUAGGGAAGUACGGUGAAAAUCCGCUGCGGUCCCGCCACUGUAACCGGAUGCCCCUUACAAGCUUUUUUAAGCUUAAGAUGGGCAGAUCUCCUGGCAGAAGCCACUGAGGGGUAAGAGCCCCCUUGGGAAGGCGCUGAGAGGUCCUACGGAAGCCAGGAGACCUGCCUGUUUCGACGACACCAA